rfam:Faecalibacterium sp. CAG:82-related_59_9 Ley3_66761_scaffold_7090, whole genome shotgun sequence.
AGAACCAGAGGACGGAACAGGCAGCCGUCGCCCAUUGUCAGGAGAUGUGGGGAGUGUCAUCCCACCUGAUUCU